rnacentral:rRNA from 1 species
AGAGUUUGAUCCUGGCUCAGAGUGAACGCUGGCGGCGUGCCUAAUACAUGCAAGUCGAACGAUGAAGCUCUAGCUUGCUAGAGUGGAUUAGUGGCGCACGGGUGAGUAAUGCAUAGAUAACAUGCCCUUUAGUCUAGGAUAGCCAUUGGAAACGAUGAUUAAUACUGGAUACUCCUUACGAGGGAAAGUUUUUCGCUAAAGGAUUGGUCUAUGUCCUAUCAGCUUGUUGGUGAGGUAAUGGCUCACCAAGGCUAUGACGGGUAUCCGGCCUGAGAGGGUGAACGGACACACUGGAACUGAGACACGGUCCAGACUCCUACGGGAGGCAGCAGUAGGGAAUAUUGCUCAAUGGGGGAAACCCUGAAGCAGCAACGCCGCGUGGAGGAUGAAGGUUUUCGGAUUGUAAACUCCUUUUGUUAGAGAAGAUAAUGACGGUAUCUAACGAAUAAGCACCGGCUAACUCCGUGCCAGCAGCCGCGGUAAUACGGAGGGUGCAAGCGUUACUCGGAAUCACUGGGCGUAAAGAGCGCGUAGGCGGGAUAGCAAGUCAGAUGUGAAAUCCUAUGGCUUAACCAUAGAACUGCAUUUGAAACUGUUAUUCUAGAGUAUGGGAGAGGUAGGUGGAAUUCUUGGUGUAGGGGUAAAAUCCGUAGAGAUCAAGAGGAAUACUCAUUGCGAAGGCGACGUGCUAGAACAUAACUGACGCUGAUGCGCGAAAGCGUGGGGAGCAAACAGGAUUAGAUACCCUGGUAGUCCACGCCCUAAACGAUGAAUGCUAGUUGUUGUGGAGCUUGUCUCUGCAGUAAUGCAGCUAACGCAUUAAGCAUUCCGCCUGGGGAGUACGGUCGCAAGAUUAAAACUCAAAGGAAUAGACGGGGACCCGCACAAGCGGUGGAGCAUGUGGUUUAAUUCGAAGAUACACGAAGAACCUUACCUAGGCUUGACAUUGAUAGAAUCCGCUAGAGAUAGUGGAGUGCUAGCUUGCUAGAACUUGAAAACAGGUGCUGCACGGCUGUCGUCAGCUCGUGUCGUGAGAUGUUGGGUUAAGUCCCGCAACGAGCGCAACCCUCGUCCUUAGUUGCUAACUAUUCGGUAGAGCACUCUAAGGAGACUGCCUUCGCAAGGAGGAGGAAGGUGAGGAUGACGUCAAGUCAUCAUGGCCCUUACGCCUAGGGCUACACACGUGCUACAAUGGGAAGCACAAAGAGAUGCAAUAUUGUGAAAUGGAGCAAAUCUACAAAACUUCUCUCAGUUCGGAUUGUAGUCUGCAACUCGACUACAUGAAGCUGGAAUCGCUAGUAAUCGUAAAUCAGCUAUGUUACGGUGAAUACGUUCCCGGGUCUUGUACUCACCGCCCGUCACACCAUGGGAGUUGUAUUCGCCUUAAGUCGGAAUGCCAAACUGGCUACCGCCCACGGCGGAUGCAGCGACUGGGGUGAAGUCGUAACAAGGUAACC